AAGUGUGUAAAACUGUUUAUAUUUCACCUCAAAUCCAUCCUCAUUACCUGUGUAUAUUUGUUUUUCUUAGUUUUUGAAUUGUAUUUUAUUUUGGCGGAGAAGCUUUUAUUUUCUUGUUUCCUGUCUCCUUGUCAUAUCCUGUGUGUUCGCGCUGCCCUCCUCAGUUCGCGCCAAGCUGCGCUGGGGAGAGGUAAGCGUACAAAGUUGUCUUGUGUUUGUCUGUUGAAGUAUUCAAAAUGUCCUUAAAAGUAUUUUUGCCAAACUCGCAAGUUUUUAUAUGUUGUUUCCCAACUGUUUUAUGUUUAGCGCAGCACUGUACUGGGCACUUAAUUCCCACGUUAAGGACAUUUAUUGAGUUUACCGUGCCAAUGUGGUUAUUUUUGUUCUUUUGAUUUGUUAAGGUGUGUGUGGGAAAGCCAGAGCCCAAGAACUGGAGUGCUGAUGCAUUUUUUGUUUUAAACAGAGAAUUUUGGUUGGUUUUACCACAGUCCUGAGUUCGCGCCAAGCUGCGCUGGGGAGAGGUGUGUGUGGGAAAGCCAGAGCCCAAGAACUGGAGUGCUGAUGCAUUUUUUGUUUUAAACAGAAUAACUCUGCCCUACUGCUGCAAUA